rnacentral:lncRNA from 1 species
CCACACAGUCUUACCAGUGGUAUUCUUGGGGUCCCCCUAACAUGCAGUGUCGCCUCUGCGCAUCUUGUUGGACAUAUUGGAAGAAAUAUGGUGGCUUGAAAAUGCCAACCCGGUUAGAUGGAGAGAGGCCGGGACCAAACCGCAAUAACAUGAGUCCCCAUGGCAUCCCAGCUCGGAGCAGUGGGAGCCCCAAGUUUGCCAUGAAGACAAGGCAGGCCUUCUACCUGCAUACUACCAAGUUGACACGCAUUGCCCGGCGCUUGUGCCGUGAGAUCCUACGCCCAUGGCAUGCCGCACGCCACCCCUACAUGCCCAUCAACAGUGCAGCAAUCAAGGAAGUCAGCCCCUGUCAUCAACAAUGGCUCCCCUACCAUCUUGGGCAAGAGGAGCUAUGAGCAGCACAAUGGGGUAGAUGGUGAGUCUGAGCUUAAGGACUGGCCCUGUGAAGAGACCAAGGCAGGUCUGCUGGGAGCUGCAGGGCUGGCCCUCUAAGGAAGUCAGGCCUGAGGGCCAAGGGACUAGGGCUAGCCCUGGAGCUCCACGUGACCCUUAUUCAACUGGCUGUCUUAGUUGAUGGUGUUUUCUCUCCCUCUCUCUCCUGUUCCUGGGCACUGCCAGGCAACAUGAAGAAGCGCCUCUUGAUGCCCAGUAGGGGUAAGGCCUGGGGCGGCCG